rnacentral:rRNA from 1 species
GCGAAAGCAGGUCAUAGUGAUCCGGUGGUUCUGAAUGGAAGGGCCAUCGCUCAACGGAUAAAAGGUACUCCGGGGAUAACAGGCUGAUACCGCCCAAGAGUUCAUAUCGACGGCGGUGUUUGGCACCUCGAUGUCGGCUCAUCACAUCCUGGGGCUGAAGUAGGUCCCAAGGGUAUGGCUGUUCGCCAUUUAAAGUGGUACGCGAGCUGGGUUUAGAACGUCGUGAGACAGUUCGGUCCCUAUCUGCCGUGGGCGCUGGAGAACUGAGGGGGGCUGCUCCUAGUACGAGAGGACCGGAGUGGACGCAUCACUGGUGUUCGGGUUGUCAUGCCAAUGGCACUGCCCGGUAGCUAAAUGCGGAAGAGAUAAGUGCUGAAAGCAUCUAAGCACGAAACUUGCCCCGAGAUGAGUUCUCCCUGAGACUUAGAGUCUCCUGAAGGAACGUUGAAGACGACGACGUUGAUAGGCCGGGUGUGUAAGCGCAGCGAUGCGUUGAGCUAACCGGUACUAAUGAACCGUGAGGCUUAACCUUACAACGCCGAAGCUGUU